rnacentral:snoRNA from 1 species
GGGAAGCUUUUGGUUGGGUAUAUAAAACGCAGCGGUUUUUAUGCGGGAAGAGCGUUUCGCUCAGCCUGUUACGACAAUUGAGCGCUCUCAUUUGUUUUACUUUCUGAUCCC